CCUACGGGUGGCAGCAGUGGGGAAUAUUGCACAAUGGGGGAAACCCUGAUGCAGCGACGCCGCGUGUGGGAAGAAGGUUUUCUGGUUGUUAAAUCCUUUUCCCCAGGGCCGUAAUUAACGUAACCUGGGGAGGAACCUCCGCCUAACUACUGCCCGCCGCCGGCGGUAAUACGUAGGGAGCAAGCGUUGUCCGGAAUUCCUGGGGGUAAGGGGGGCGUGGGCGGGAUGGAAAGUUGAGUUGUAAACCUACGGGGUAAAUUGCUAGUCGCACUGAAAACUGCUGUUCUUGAGUGAAGUAGAGGGAAGCGGAAUUCCUAGUGUAGCGGUGAAAUGCGUAGAUAUUAGGAGGAACACCAGUGGCGAAGGCGGCCUACUGGGCUUUUACUGACGCUGAGGCUCGAAAGUGUGGGGAGCAAACAGGAUUAGAUACCCCUGUAGUC
rnacentral:rRNA from 1 species